UGGAAUAAUGAACGCUUGCUACAACGACAAUAGACAACUAUUAAGGUCCUACAACAAUGCUGCAAGUCCAGACCGCAAAGCCGCACAGGAGACCCAUUGUUCCAGUCUCUGCAGAACAUGGUCAGCAACAGCCAGCUAAGUGACGCAAGCAAAGCUGGCAGGUCCCCUAUCCUCUGCUUCACACUCAUGAGGCCACCUCUGAGAUGUGGUGAAUGUUGGACAGGGUGAGCUGUGCUUCCCGCGCCGGGUAAAAACGUCUGGAUCGAAGCCACAGUCUCCCAAACACUCCUGUGAUCAGCAGCAAGACGACCAGCAGUGCUCCUAGCACAAAGGUCUCCACAGGUGGUACUCCGCCUGCAGCUAGAGAGAAAAGGACAGACAGAAGCCCAAUUAGCAUAUGAAUCCCAUAUACUUAACUAGAGUCUUCAAGCCUUGGAAAUGACAAAGCUUAAGCUUUGUGAUUCAUGUGAGUUACAGGACUUAUAAUAAAGGUGAAAACCUACUCAGAUUGGGCUUUUCAUUGUCAUUUAGUAAUCGUCUGAUGGGUCCGUAAGACACUGUAUGUGAGAGAGGGAUGUCUCUCCUUGUUCUCAUUAAUCCAUCAUCACUGGAACAGUUCUGUGUGGUAAAUAAAGAAAUGGAACAUGA